UGAAUUAUGCACCACCACCUGCAUAAUGAUGCACCACCGUUGUUACUUUGUACACCGACGUGCAUGAAUCGUACACGAUCGUUGCCAUUUUAGCAACUACCGUGUAUGAAUCAUGCACCACCGUUGUCAUUUUUUUUACUCGUGUGCAAUCGGCUGCAUAUUUACCAUUUUUUCCGUGUUAUUGAAAGAGAAAGGACGCAUUGUGCAAAAAAUUUAUUGAAAAUGAAUAAUAAUUCGCAAGAUCCUCAAAAUAUCAUUGGUGAGUUGUUAGAAAUCGAUGGCAAUAUUGUUGUGGUUCGCGAUACAAACCAUUGCAGCAGUCAAGAUGCGGAAAACAAUGAGGACGAUUAUAUGUUAAGGGAGUUCUUAAAAGGAAUAAAUAUGGAGUCGCUUUUUGAACAAUUAAAAGGUAAGUAAAUAAAAAUGAAUUUUUCAGUUAAUCAGUGUAAUUAACAAAGAAUUUUCUUUUUGUUCUUUUAGCAUCACAUGUAACAUUUCGCAGCUUGCAGUACUUGAAAAAAGAAGAUUUAAAGGAAGCAGUGCCACCAUUGGGACUGCGUGUUGAAUUCAGAGAAAAGCUCUUUGCUUGGAAAAAACGAAAGCUCGGGAUUGAUGACGAAACUAUGUCAGUUCCAUCUAAAAUAGGUGAAUGGUGGAAACGCAACGAGACACCUGCAAGUACUCCUGGUACUCCCGACACUACAGGUUCGAACUGCUCAAAAGCCAAAGGAAUUUUGUCAGAGGAUCUAACGGAAUUGUUAACACAUACCUCGAAGGGGAAACUAGCGCUUGAAUGUAGUAGCGUUAAUAAGAAAUUAAGUGACGAGCAAAGAGAUGAUAUAAUUAAUAUAAUUAUUGAAGAUAUUUUAACCAACAAUGUUACUCUUUACACUCAAGACUAUAUGCGCAUAUUGGAUGAAAUUUGUUCCGUUUUUCCUCUUGAAAACGAAAUGAGGGUAAGAUUAACAAUAUAAACAACGUAUCUGAUUAUGUAGUUUCUUAACUUAUAAUAUGUCUUUAUUUUUAGGAUUAUUAUUACAUUUCAAGAAAAGGAAAGAACAACGCAAGCGGAAAACUUUAUGCCAAGUAUAGAAACAAGAAGUCCAAAAGAAUAAAGCUUUUGAUUUCCGAGCCUAGCACAAGCAAAGCAGCAACUCACACAUCUCCUAAUUUUUGUAACAAAGAUGUUCCCGAAAUUGAUGAAUCAGUUGAAAAUUCAUUGAAAGCUUCCUUACUAAGAGAAUGUAAUGAUUGGGGAUCGAUCUGCGAAAAAUGGAAAAGAUCUUUUAACAUACGGCAAAGAGAUAUAAAAAAUUUAAGUAGCCAUACAUUUCUCCUUGAAUGGACGAAGUUGUCCGA